rnacentral:rRNA from 1 species
GACGAACGCUGGCGGCGUGCUUAACACAUGCAAGUCGAACGGUGAAGGGACCGGUUUUUGCUGGUUCUGGAUGAGUGGCGAACGGGUGAGUAACACGUGAGUAACCUGCCCCCUUCUUCUGGAUAACCGCAUGAAAGUGUGGCUAAUACGGGAUAUUCUGCGCCUGCUGCAUGGUGGGUCUGGGAAAGAUAUUGUUUCGGUGGGGGAUGGGCUCGCGGCCUAUCAGCUUGUUGGUGGGGUGAUGGCCUACCAAGGCGGUGACGGGUAGCCGGCCUGAGAGGGUGGACGGUCACACUGGGACUGAGACACGGCCCAGACUCCUACGGGAGGCAGCAGUGGGGAAUAUUGCACAAUGGGCGCAAGCCUGAUGCAGCGACGCCGCGUGAGGGAUGGAGGCCUUCGGGUUGUAAACCUCUUUCGCCAGUGAAGCAGGCCUGUCCCUUUUGUGGGUGGGUUGACGGUAGCUGGAUAAGAAGCGCCGGCUAACUACGUG